rnacentral:rRNA from 1 species
CCUACGGGUGGCAGCAGUGAGGAAUAUUGCUCAAUGGGCGAGAGCCUGAACCAGCCAAGUCGCGUGAGGGAGUAAUGCCCUAUGGGCUGUAAACCUCUUCUGCAGGGGAGCAAAAGCCGGGCGGGUCCGGCUGUGAGAGUACCCGAAGAAAAAGCAUCGGCUAACUCCGGGCCAGCAGCCGCGGUAAGACGGAGGAUGCGAGCGUUAUCCGGAUUUAGUGGGUGUAAAGGGUGCGCAGGCGGAUUUUUAAGUCAGCGGUCAAAUCGUGGGGCUCAACCCCAUCCCGCCGGGGAAACUGGGGAUCUAGAGUGUGCGAGAGGUAUGCGGAAUUCGUGGUGUAGCGGUGGAAUGCAUAGAUAUCACGAAGAACCCCGAUGGCGAAGGCAGCCUUCCGGUGCACAACUGACGCUCAGGCGCGAAAGCGUGGGUAUCGAACAGGAUUAGAUACCCGGGUAGUC